CAUUUCACAGCUGAAGAUGAGGGUGUAGCUCCUUGUAUGAGACAGGCUUAACCACAAGAAACUCAGCUAAUUCAUGUCAUGAUAAAAUUUCUGUUUGGACAGUAAACAUUUCAUAUGUUCAUCGGCCAAAUAAGUCACAUAGUUGGGUCUGAGAUUGAGGGAAAAUGUAUGUUGUAUAUUGGGAGGCACAGUAAAUCACUUAGCAAAUGUAUGUUUACACUUUUCUUGUAGGAGAAAGAGAAAUUAAUGAGAUCAAUAAAGCAAUCUACUAUAUCCUCACUGCCCCUUCUCAAACAUAAAAGGAGACUGUGUUUCUCAUUGGUUCAUUUUAUUUUUUACGUGUACUAGUUGUGGUGGAAAGAAGAAUGAUCUUCCCAGAGAUAUCGUCAUCCUUGUCUUUGGUAUCUCUGAAAUGUUCCCUUACUGGGCAGAGGAAUUUGUAGACACACUGAAGGUAAAAACCUUGAGAUGGGGAGAUUAUCCUGGAUUACACAGGCGACUACAACAUAAUCAUAUGAAGCCUUAAGAGUUAAAGAGAAAAGCAGAAGAGAGAGUCAGAGAGAUGUGACCUGAGGUGUUGACCUGCUGUUGCCGAUUUCGAAGAUGGAAAAUGGAGGGUUCAAGCCAAGGUGUGUAGUCAGCCCCUAGAAGCUAGAAAAGGGAAGGCGACAGAUUCUCCCCUAAAGCUUCCCUGAAGACACAU
rnacentral:lncRNA from 1 species